AUGGAUGACAGAGAGAAAAGUUUUGAAGAUGCUGCCAGAUUAUGUUGCACAUGCCUGCUUAAAAUGUUCCUCACUGUCACACAUGCCAAAAUUCCCUCAGACUCAAGGCUGUUGCACUGGGUAAUCUUUGAAGUUACUGAUGCAUUGCAGACUUUCUGGAAGCUCAAUGAAGGUCUGGGAAGCUCUUUAUAUCCUGAAAGAACUCGAAUGCUGCUUGCACUGAGGAUCAAUGUUUUGGUCAAAGGGCUCAGCGGGGUUUCACUGGAGACGCUGCACAGCAUGAUCCAGGCCUUCAAUGGGGUUGGCUCUGAUCAAUGGGACUCAGAUGAUCACUUCUUUGGGAGCAGAGGCUGUGGAGAGAGCCGAGGCCAUCGCCCGGCAGGCUGACAUCAUCGCUGCCUUGACCCUGGAAGUCCUUAAGGAGACCACCAAAGCCUUUGAUAGUGGUGAGCUCGUGUAAACAAGUGAUUGACGUUUUGGGUAUGAGCACCGUAUUUAGACGCUGUUCUCAGUUCUGCAGACAGAAACUGUAAACACUGCAGUAAGCUUUCAGACUUGUCAGACAAAACGUAUUUGUGUAACACUGUCACACAUAUAAAGUCACAGUACCUUGUCAGAAAUGCAGGCCUGCAUCUGUUCUCUGAGAGUUUUGGGUUAUGCGAGCACAGUCUCAUAUAAAUGCAUAUAAAUAAUACGUCAGAUAAAAACCAAAACUCAUAGUAUUGAUAUGCAAACAUGGACUUUGGCAUGUACAGUAUGAUACGCAUCUACUCCAUGGCUAUUGGUUAGCAUUACAAAGUUCAAGAGAGAAUAACUUUAACCAAAUACUAGAAGGUUUGAUUUUGACAUCGGUACUAAAGUCAUGUUAACCAUGAACUAAAACAGAUAGGUUUCUUUCUGCAGUUUCAGAGAACAAAGUGCUUUGCCAUGCCUCCUCUAUUGACUCCCUGUCCACUAGUGCAGCCACGGAGGACCACGUGUCCAUGGGAGGCUGGGCCGCACUAAAGCCCUCAGAGUGGUUGAGCACUUCAAGCAAGGUCCAAAACCUGAUAUCAGCCUACCAUUUAGCUCAAAUUGUUACUAUAAUGGUGCCCCCAUUGGAUUACCAAAGCACGAGAGCACAAAGUGUAGUAGUAUUUAAUAUUUUCCAUCAGAAUCUCAUCAUGGCAAGUCAUAACUGGUUUAUAAUAAAGUGAAUUGGUGGCAAAUUUGAUAAUCUCAUUCAUACAUUUUCAUACUACUUACUCCUACUGUGUGGUUGGGUUUAAGGGUGGACCUGCUUGCUUGCUUAUUUUAACUGAAUACAUUUUUUUUUUAAUGAACAAUCAUUUUGUGGCUAAUUUGUAUUAAUUUAUAUGAUCUUAUUCAUAUGUUUUUGGAUUCUGUUUAUCCCCAUUGUCAGUAAGGUUUAAAGGGAUAGUUCACCUUCAUUUGCUGGUCACAUUGACUUGCAUAUUUUAUUUAUUUAUUUCCCAUUCUAUGGAAGUCAAUGGGGACCAGCAACUAAAGCUGAAGCAUAGGAAUAUCUCACUGGCAAUUU
rnacentral:lncRNA from 1 species